rnacentral:rRNA from 1 species
UACGUAGGGUGCAAGCGUUAUCCGGAAUUAUUGGGCGUAAAGAGCUCGUAGGCGGUUUGUCGCGUCUGCUGUGAAAACUGGAGGCUCAACCUCCAGCCUGCAGUGGGUACGGGCAGACUAAAGUGCGGUAGGGGAGAUUGGAAUUCCUGGUGUAGCGGUGAAAUGCGCAGAUAUCAGGAGGAACACCGGUGGCGAAGGCGGAUCUCUGGGCCAUUACUGACGCUGAGGAGCGAAAGCGUGGGGAGCGAACAGG